rnacentral:rRNA from 1 species
CGGGUGAGUAACAUGUGGAUAACCUACCUAUAAGACUGGGAUAACUUCGGGAAACCGUAGCUAAUACCGGAUAAUAUAUUGAACCGCAUGGUUCAAUAGUGAAAGACGGUUUUGCUGUCACUUAUAGAUGGAUCCGCGCCGCAUUAGCUAGUUGGUAAGGUAACGGCUUACCAAGGCAACGAUGCGUAGCCGACCCGAGAUGGUGAUCGGCCACACUGGAACUGAGACACGGUCCAG